rnacentral:rRNA from 1 species
UACGUAGGGAGCGAGCGUUGUCCGGAAUUACUGGGUGUAAAGGGUGCGUAGGCGGCGAGUUAAGUCAGCGGUAAAAGCCCGGGGCUCAACCCCGACCUGCCGUUGAAACUGGCGUCCUUGAGUGGGCGAGAAGUAUGCGGAAUGCGUGGUGUAGCGGUGAAAUGCAUAGAUAUCACGCAGAACUCCGAUUGCGAAGGCAGCAUACCGGCGCCCCACUGACGCUCAUGCACGAAAGCGUGGGUAUCGAA